rnacentral:rRNA from 1 species
AACGAACGCUGGCGGCAUGCCUAACACAUGCAAGUCGAACGAGACCUUCGGGUCUAGUGACGCACGGGUGCGUAACGCGUGGGAACCUGCCCUUAGGUUCGGAAUAACUCCCCGAAAGGGGUGCUAAUACCGGAUAAUGUCUUCGGACCAAAGAUUUAUCGCCUUUGGAUGGGCCCGCGUUGGAUUAGCUAGUUGGUAGGGUAAAAGCCUACCAAGGCGACGAUCCAUAGCUGGUCUGAGAGGAUGAUCAGCCACACUGGGACUGAGACACGGCCCAGACUCCUACGGGAGGCAGCAGUGGGGAAUAUUGGACAAUGGGCGGAAGCCUGAUCCAGCAAUGCCGCGUGAGUGAUGAAGGCCUUAGGGUUGUAAAGCUCUUUUAACCGGGAUGAUAAUGACAGUACCGGGAGAAUAAGCUCCGGCUAACUCCGUG